rnacentral:lncRNA from 1 species
AAUCUGUAACAAGAUAAGAUAAAUCACAGAUUGUUUGAAUAAAUUAUUCGGCUUCAAAAUAGUUUUAUAUUGACUUUGAAAAUUUGAUUCAUAUUCCGAACAAGUGAACUGGAGAAAUCAUGAGAAUUACAAUUUAUAUUUACAUAAUGGGCUUGUUAUUAAUUAAAUGACAAAUCAAAGCACGAUGAGUACAUAAAUACUGAUUGUUAUAUUUCCGCGAAUACUUGAUGUAAUAACUGCGUGAUAUGUUGCUUAUUAUGCUUUUGCGUCAAUAAACUAUUCAACAAUCAUACGAUUUGUAAGAUUGCUGACACAAACCAAGUGAGAAUGCUGAAGAAAAAUAUUUUCACCAAACUGUUUGUUAUUUUUCAUAAAACUCAAGACAAAGAAUGACCAUGACAAUCAGUACACGUUUUUUAUAUUAUCAAGCAUCCAUCCCAGCUCAGCGUGAAACUCCGCAUUGUUUGUAAACUCAUUCAAAAUCUGCUGAGUUUCACUUUACACAUGAUAAGGUGUCGAAUAUAAAAACGAUUGCAGAAUUCAACUUGGCAUCAGACAAACAGCAAGUGCAACAGACAAAAACUCCAACGUUUUUUAAAAAAAGUUACAAUUGUAAUUUACCGAAGAUUUGUCCGUUACUGAAAGAUUUUGAGUGAAGUUAUUUUGAACCAGACAAUGAAUAAAAUGCAUGGAAAACUUGUCCGAGCCUUGGCCAUUUUUGCGAUUGUUUCUGCCAUUGCAAUCAGCGAUACAGACGCAUGUCACAAGUGUGGUCACGACACGUGUUCUGGUGGCUGUUCUGUACUUCAACUCCCAGCCCCAGUUCAUCAUCAACCGACAUUCUCGCUGUGCAGCAGUUGCAACGACCCUUGCGAUGCUCCGACCUGGUAUCCAAAACCAUAUUGCGGAGGCUGUUCGAGGCGCAAGUCUAUCCGUCUAAACAAUAACUGUGGCUGUUACAAUAAUUGUGGAUAUUAAUUCAAAAAUCUG